UACGAAGGGGGCUAGCGUUGCUCGGAAUUACUGGGCGUAAAGCGCACGUAGGCGGUCUUUUACGUCGGGGGUGAAAUCCUGGAGCUCAACUCCAGAACUGCCUUCGAUACUGGAAGACUUGAGUCCGGGAGAGGUGAGUGGAACUGCGAGUGUAGAGGUGAAAUUCGUAGAUAUUCGCAAGAACACCAGUGGCGAAGGCGGCUCACUGGCCCGGUACUGACGCUGAGGUGCGAAAGCGUGGGGAGCAAACAGG
rnacentral:rRNA from 1 species